CUGAGUACUUUCUCAUUGAACAAUGAUUGAUACAGCAAAACAUGACUUCAGGGCAAAGGAAAAAUAAGUUGAAUUUAAGAUAAUAGAUUUAAAAA